rnacentral:hammerhead_ribozyme from 1 species
CGCCAGCUGACGUGUCCCGAAUAGGACGAAACGUGCUUUCUGGAA